AUGAGCCAUCACAAUGUGACAGAGGAGGAUUCUGUGUGCAGCCCCCCACUAUGGAAUAUCUUCUACGAGGUUCGUAUCCGUCCCCAAACCCCGGGCCUGUCAAGUACAGUGGCUAUCCAGGCUCUGGAUGUAGGGCUACCUCACUGUGCCUAUGCUUACUUCGAUACCUGGGGCCAGGGGACCCUGGUCACCGUCUCUUCAGGUAAGCAGCUCAUCUGGGGACUGUGGGGUUCCAAGCAACAUUGUGGUGAGGGUUUUAGUAUAGGAGCAGAGGCAGAACAGAGGCUGUGCUACUGGUACUUUGAUGUCUGGGGCCAGGGGACCCUGGUCACCGUCUCCUCAGCCACAACAACAGCCCCAUCUGUCUAUCCACUGGCUCCUGGACACGGAAGCACAGCUGACCCCACGGUGACCCUGGGAUGCCUAGUCAAGGGCUAUUUCCCUGAGCCGGUGACCGUAACCUGGAACUCUGGGGCCCUGACCAGCGGCGUGCACACCUUCCCUUCUGUCCUGCAUUCUGGGCUCUACUCCCUCAGCAGCUCGGUGACGGUAUCUUCCAGCACCUGGCCCAGCCAGACCGUCACCUGCAACGUAGCCCACCCGGCCAGCAGCACCAAGGUGGACAAGAAAAUUGAGCCCAGACCUACAUGUCCUACUAACACUCCGUGUCCGCCGUGUCCAACUCCUGAACUCUUAGGUGGACCAUCCGUCUUCAUCUUCCCCCCAAAGCCCAAGGAUGUGCUCAUGAUCUCCCUGACCCCCAAGAUCACAUGUGUCGUGGUGGACGUGAGCGAGGAAGACAAAGAGGUCCAGUUCAACUGGUUUGUAAACAAUGAAGAAGUGAACACAGCUCAGACCGAGCCCCUGCAGAAGCAGCAUCACAAUAGCACCUACCGUGUGGUCAGCGUCCUCCCCAUCAAGCACCAGGACUGGCUGAGCGGCAAGAAGUUCAAAUGCAAGGUCAACAACAACGCCCUCCCAAGCCCCGUUGAGAAAACCAUCUCCAAACCCAAAGGGCAAGUCCGAGUGCCACAGGUGUACAUCUUUCCUCCACCUGCGGAGCAGAUGACCAAGAAAGAAGUCAGUGUGACCUGCUUGGUCAUGGGCUUCCUCCCUGAGGACAUCCACGUGGAAUGGGAGAGCAAUGGGCGUCCAGAGCAGAACUACAAGAACACAACGCCUGUCUUAGACACAGACGGUUCUUACUUCAUGUACAGCAAGCUCAAUGUGCCAAAGAGCAGAUGGGAUCAGGGAAAUAUCUUCACCUGCUCUGUGAUACAUGAGGCUCUGCACAACCACCACACGACGAAGACCAUCUCCAGGUCUCUGGGUAAAUGAGCUCAGCACCCAGAAAUCUCUUAAGUCCUACGACUUAAGACACUGGCACCCUCCUCCACCCUCCUCCUGUAUAAAUAAAGCACCCAGCACUGCCCUGGGACCCUGUGAAA